AAAUAAAUUGUUACUCGUUGCUGCUGCCGAGUGCUGUAAUGGCUAAUCUUGCCAUUGUGUGUGUGAAUUCCUAAAUUUUCUUAUAAAUUUCUACCGUCUUCAGUGUCGAUAAUCAUUAGAUGACCCCCUGGAAUUGUUAACUAUACGCUGAAAGUUGUUACUAAAAUAAAAUCUCAGGUUUUUAUGAGCAAAAGUCGCGAGUGGCUAUCGUGCGUCUGUCGUAUCGUGUUUUAACUCAACGUCGUCGUCGUCGUCGUCCUCUGUAAAUUUAUAAUAAUAAUUUUCGGCGGAUUUCGCACAGUCAAAGAAAAGUAGAAAAGAAUCCAUUUCGAUAUAAAGAAAAACUAAAGAACGCUCAGUGCGGCGUGUAAAAAUGGACUUCAAAUGAUUAUCUCAAGGAAUUUUCCCCUCACUAUUAUUAAUCAUUUUCAUCUUCAUGCUUCAUCUUCUUCUGCUGCUGCUUCUUGUCGUGGAUGUUUAUGGGAUGUGGUGCGCGUGCCCAAAUCCUGGAUAUUCGUAUGAUAAUGCACGUUGUAAAUACAUAACAUCAUAAUGCUAGACUACGAUCCGUCAUCGUCCCCUCGUCCUGUGUAUGCAUAUUAUAAAUAAUCAUUUCAAACAAUCAAUAGAUGCCAGGUAAUCGAUAAUUAAUCAAAGUUUAAAAUCGUGUAGCGCUCGAUGCGUCUCGGAAACUCAACAAAAAUUGAAAGCUAAAAACAAACAAAAACCAAAAUAAUAAGAAGAUGACUACAAAUAGGAUUCAAGAUAGGAGUAGUCAGAGGCUUAUUCAUUUUUUAUCUUUUUGUUAACCUCUCCUAUCUAGACUUUUAAAAGUAACAUUUUUCUUUUAUCAUCAGAUCAUAAACCAAUAAAACCAGUGAAAAGUUUUUUAAACUUGUGUAAUUGUGAAGUAUUAGUAUAUUAGUAUUUGUGUAUCAGUGGUUAGCCAAAAUGGAAGAGCAAAGCGUUCACAGUAGUACAAGCGAUAUAAAUAGUGAGGAGGCAGCAAAGACCGAGCCGCUGAUAAUACCCCGCAAAAAGAGAAUAUGCCUAGUUGGAAGCACAGGAGAAGACCCAGCGCUUGGAGCAGCUGCCCAGCAGUUCAGUGUUCCUGUAUUGAAGUCAGAAACUGGAACGGAAUAUUUGGAAGAUACAACAUAUUGCACUUAUUUCAUACUCAUGAAAUUUGAAGGUCCCGAAUACGAUGCUCUUCACAAAAGCGCCCAUAGGAUACUUGGGCCAACUGCUCUGCUCCAGUUGGCUGAAAAAAAGGAUUCACUGCCCAGUAUAAACCGGCCAAUGUACACCCAAGCAAUGUUGGGAUCUGUUGUUGUUUUUACCGGGUUUAGGAAAAAAGAAGAAUUGACAAAGUUGAUCAACAUGAUCCACAGUAUGGGCGGUAGCAUAAGGAAAGAAAUGGGUGUAAAAGUAACGCACUUGAUAGCAAACUGCUGCGGGGGUGACAAAUACAGAUAUGCCGUCACAUUCAGGGUUCCAAUUAUGUCCAUGGAUUGGGUUACCGCACUUUGGGAUGCAAGGGACGAUCUCACAAGUUUUGGUUCCAAUGACAAACUGAUAGCAGCUCACAAGUUGAAACCCUUCUUUGGCGCAAAAGUCUGCUUUUUCGGUUUUCCUGAUGAGGAAAAAAAACACAUGUGCGAGGUCUUGCAGCAACAGGGUGGAGAACCCGCAGAAAUUGACGACCCUAAUUGUACACAUGUGGUAACUGACAAAGACGACAACUGUGGUACUUCAAAAUCAGUUGAAACUAAUUCAAUUCCUGUCCGCUCAAAAUACCAACCAUUUUCCUUCACUUAUUAUAACCCCUACACAAACCAAAUUCCGACAAUCGAUAAGAGAAAUGGUAACGCAGAGACUGUUUCUUCCCAUUUUAAAGACUCUGGCCAAGAUCUUGACAAUCCUAAAUGCAAACAAACCAGUGAAACUUUUUCUGAUCAUCGCGAGUGCACGCGACAAUCUAACAGUGGUAUGAACGAAAAAUCCAGUCAAUAUGAUUCUGCUAUUUCUUUGGAUAGCACUUCUUUCAUUCCUGACGACUCUUGCGACUACGCUUUUGAUUUUAUUGCUAAUAUUUCGAGCUCAACUAGAACUUCUCAGGGAUCUGACGAGGGUUUUGUUUCUCUAAAUUCGUCUCAGCUAUUCUCUACCUGUAGUAAUUUCUGCCGAGAAGAUGAUGACACUUCUUCGUCUUCCUUAUUCAAAAUCACCACUGAAAUGAAGAAAGAGAAGAAAUCGUUUAAGAGCAUUGAAUCGGUAACUCCCCUGAAUAUCAUCCAGCCAAAAAAUCGGUCUAAAAAAACUUUAUGGAAGAAGUCAAAGUCAUGUAUCUUGGUUAGCAAGCCAUUGCCCUCCACCAGAAGCAAAAUAUUCUUCAGAAAUCAUUCACAACCCAAUUUAUCAAAUUUCAAGAUGACAACAAAGAUUUUUAGGAAGAAUUCUGUACCUGCUCAUCCUCAAUUCUCAAGAUUUCGAACCCUCCUGCUUCACAGAAUGAUUAACCAUGCAGGAUUUCCCUCAAAUUUUUGCCCCAGGAAUUUGAUCCCCAAUUCUAGAAACCUGUAUCCAAAAAUUCACCUUCCUCGUCGAAGAUCACAGAGAACACUCGGCCCGAAUCUUAGUACCACCAGAAAUUGGAGGAUUGGUCAGAGAACCGCCGAUCACCAAGCUAUCACAGAGAAAAUGGAAACGGAAAUUGAAAAUCCGGAUUUUUUGCCGGUCGUUGAUGAGUCCAAUGUGAAUUCUCUACCUGAUUUAGCAUCCGUCAGAGCCCACAUAGUGAAAGCUGAGUGGUUCUGGACGUCCGUACAGAACGAAGGCGCUGCAGAUGAAAAAGAGUACCUGUUCGAAGAUUAUUUGGAAUCUGUUGUAUCACCGUUGGCAACAGCACGGAGGGACAGUCAGGCAGCUACUCCAACUACAGCUUCAACAAGGAGAAAACGCAAGAGACUCGCUGAAACUUUAUCUAGUCUAGUUCAAAAUGGUGCCGAUUCCCCAGCCGUCCAUAAACGAAGAUCAAGCAUAAGUGACGCAGGACAUCUGAGUGUCAGUGGAAGUUUUUUAGACUGCACUUCGAGCCCAGAUAAACAACUGGAUGCUAUUCCAGAGGUAGAAGCUGCGAGCACAGAAACAACGAGAAAAAAUCUUUCCCCUAGACAUCAAGUAUUCUUAGAACUUGUAACUACCGAAUCUAACUACGUCGGAAUCCUUAGCACAAUUAUGACGCUGUUUAAAUCUCCGCUUGAAGACCUGAUAGAAACAAGUGGUGAGCUUUUAAACAGUACGGAGGCAAAAAUAAUAUUUGGAAAUUUUCCUCCGAUAUACGAAGUGCACAAACGGAUGCUCGAAGAGCUACGAUACAAUGCUGGUCACUGGGUAGAGGACGUUAGCAUAGGAAAUAUAUUUUUAAAGUAUGCUCCAGACCUGGUCAAAGCGUAUCCUCCAUACGUUAAUUUCUUUGAAAAUACUAAAGAAAUGUUGGAGGAAUGCGAUCAAAACAAACCCAGGUUUCACGCGUUUCUUAAAAUCUGUCAAACCAAACCAGAAUGUGGGAGGCAGAGCCUCAAAGAACUGCUCAUUAAACCUGUACAGAGGUUGCCCAGUAUUAGCUUAUUGUUAAAUGAUAUUCUUAAGCAUACCAAUAAAAACAAUCCAGACCACAGUGCUUUGGAGUUGUCUAUAAGUAGCAUAAAGGAGGUGAUGACGUAUAUAAAUGAAGAUAAGAGAAAAACUGAGGGCCAGUUGGUCAUGUUUGACAUAUUCAACGAGAUAGACAACUGCCCGCCCCAUCUGGUAUCUUCACAUCGUUCAUUCAUAGGAAAAUGCGAAGUUAUGGAGCUCGGUGAGGGACUCAGUGGACGGGGGGAUCACCUUGUGCUUUUCUUAUUCACCGACACGCUAGAAAUAUGUAAAAAGAGAUCGAAAGCCUUCAACUCCCUAAAGAGCCCAAAAGAAGCUAAUGGACUACAUCCCACAAAGCUUAGUCAAGGAAAACCAUACAAACAUAUCAGAAUGCUGUCGCUCAAUACGAUAAAGAGGGUUGUGGAUAUCAAAGAAACUGACGAAUGUCAUAAAGUAUUCGCUCUGAUGGUUCGGAGCAAUCAGGAGCUGAAGGAAAAACUUUUUUCUUUUACUAUUACGGACGAGGAAGUUAACAAGACUAAUUAUCUAAGAAUUCUAUGCAGACAGAUGGCCAACUCCGUGUGCAAAGCCGACGCGGACACAUUUUUGAUCAGUCUGGAUUCCCAUCAGUUAGAAAUCGACACGAGCGACGUAGCUUUAGGAACUUUGAGUAAAGCAUUUAAGAGCCUAUUUCAUAACUUUUACCUGGAGUAUAUGGACCCGUAUGUGUUCCUACUCAAUAGCAUGUGUGAAACCACGUUACAUGUCCCACUGCCGUUCGCCUCUCGCACGAGAAUGAAAGUUGGACGAGCUUUUAGUUUUAACAAGACACCAAGCAAACUAAAAAGAGCAAUGUCUACGAUGAUGUCACCCUUUGGAUCUACGAACAGUUUGACACCCGCAAGUCAACAACUCGCUCAGAUGCGGUUAGCCAGCUGUAAUAACAUUAACGUUAGUUGACAUUUUUAUGUUGUAUGGUUCUCAUUUUCAUCCUCCAACUAUAUCAAUUCUUAUCUUUUCAAUCCCUUCUCCCCGGUCCAUCUACUUGUGCCUACAAACUAUUCUUCUCCCUCAACGACCAUCUAACCAGACCUAAUAUUGUAUGAAUUGUUGUUCAUGCAUCUAUGGAUCAAAAUUCUGUGUCAAUUUUUGAACUUGGUAAUGGCGGUUCGGGCUCCCCUACGAGAGAUGACGUAUUGGUAGCUCCGAUGUCUGUUCAGCCAACCCGAAAAGCUAAAUGCAG
rnacentral:misc_RNA from 1 species